rnacentral:misc_RNA from 1 species
CAAGAGUAAGCUCCCCGACACCCUUUGGUGGACUGAUGCUGCAUUGGGAUGUGUUAUGCAUUGCAAUUGCAUCUUUUAUUUUUUGAAACUUAGCAAGCGAACAUGAAAAUGAUUCCAACUGUCCAUGAGCACCGCGAUAGAAGUGGAAGUAAGGAAGCACUUUAACAUUCAAACUUUUGCACAUAGGCUUGUUUUCAUCAAAAUUCACUUUAAGGAACAAAAUCUCAGGAUGUUCUUCAGCUGUCCUGCAGAG